AGGGCACCACCAGGAGUGGAGCCUGCGGCUUAAUUUGACUCAACACGGGAAAUCUCACCAGGCCCGGACACCGGAAGGAUUGACAGAUUGAGAGCUCUUUCUUGAUUCGGUGGGUGGUGGUGCAUGGCCGUUCUUAGUUGGUGGAGCGAUUUGUCUGGUUAAUUCCGAUAACGAACGAGACUCUGGCCUACUAACUAGACGUUAGAUCCCUUUGUGGGUCUAUCGCAGCUUCUUAGAGGGACGGGCGGCGUUUAGCCGCACGAGAUUGAGCAAUAACAGGUCUGUGAUGCCCUUAGAUGUUCUGGGCUGCACGCGCGCUACACUGAAGGAAUCAGCGUGUGCUCCCUGUCCGAAAGGACUGGGAAACCCGUUGAACCUCCUUCGUGAUGGGGAUUGGGGAUUGCAAUUAUUCCCCAUGAACGAGGAAUUCCCAGUAGGCGCGAGUCAUAAGCUUGCGUCGAUUACGUCCCUGCCCUUUGUACACACCGCCCGUCGCUACUACCGAUCGAGUGAUUUAGU
rnacentral:rRNA from 1 species